AGCUGGCUAAGUUAGUCCCCUGUUAAAUCCAACGAAUUAAUCGUUGGAUUGCGGGGGAUACUGCUUGGCUAGGGGACGAGAGAGGCAGACGGUAUUUCCGGGGUAGGGGUGAAAUCCUAUAAUCCCGGGAAGACCACCAGUGGCGAAGGCUGUCUGCUAGAACGCGCCCGACGGUGAGGGAUGAAAGCUGGGGGAGCGAACCGGAUUAGAUACCCGGGUAGUCCCAGCUGUAAACGAUGCAGGCUAGGUGUUUGGACGGCCACGUGCCGUUCUAGUGCCGCAGGGAAGCUGUUAAGCCUGCCGCCUGGGGAGUACGAUCGCAAGAUUGAAACUCAAAGGAAUUGGCGGGGGAGCACCACAAGGGGUGAAGCUUGCGGUUUAAUUGGAGUCAACGCCGGAAAUCUCACCGGGAGCGACAGCAGUGUGAAGGCCAGAUUAAAGGUCUUGCCAGACGAGCUGAGAGGAGGUGCAUGGCCGUCGCCAGUUCGUGCCGUGAGGUGUCCUGUUAAGUCAGGCAACGAUCGAGACCCGCGUCCUCUGUUGCUACUAGCCUUGUGCUGGGCACACUGAGGAGACCGCCACUGAUAAAGUGGAGGAAGGAGCGGGCCACGGCAGGUCAGUAUGCCCCGAAUCUCCCGGGCCACACGCGAGCUGCAAUGGCAGGUACAAUGAGUUCCGACCUCGAAAGGGGGAGGCAAUCUCGAAAGCCUGCCGUAGUUGGGAUCGAAGGCUGCAACCCGCCUUCGUGAACAUGGAAUCCCUAGUAAUCGCGUGUCAUCAGCGCGCGGUGAAUACGUCCCUGCUCCUUGCACA
rnacentral:rRNA from 1 species